CUAGAAUCCAAGAUUCCUCUCACAUGCUCUUCUGUUUUCCACCGUGGGAUGCAGAUCCAACGGCUCUGGAUAACGAACAGCUCAUAAGAUUCCCGUGCUGCAACUGAAUCACACCGGCCGAGGCGAUCUACGGCGGCGACGGCGUGCGCCGCCGCAAUCCGCCCCAAUCCCGCGGGGUCUGUCCGACUGCUCCGGCCACCCCCUUUUCAACCACCCGGACCUCCUCCAGCCGGCAUCCUCCGCCGCCCUCCUUCAACGCCGGUGCGUUUCUCCGCGGCGCGCGCGGAUGGGCGGGCUGCAGUACGCGGAGGCGUUUCGAUCAGUACCCACCUGCCGUUCAGCCGGAGUAGCCCCAGCCAUGGCCGACGGGCUCGGCGGCCCCCCUUCCCUCCCUGCACCGCGGACAUCCAUGCAGGGACUUGAACUCAUGGACAUGGCAUCAUCCUUAUUACAAUAGACAUCCUUGGCCGGCAGAAGUAUGGUGACGCAAAGAACCUGGCCACCGCCUGCUCCCUGCAUCGGCAAGCAAGCGACGGAGCUUCCAACAGGCGGAAAUGCGUGCGUGUUUAUGACACAACUGAAACAAUCCUUUGCGGGAAGGUUUUGCUGCUGUCCAGGCCAUCUUGAAGACUUUGGUGAUGCAUCUGGUCUGUUAACUUAACAUCGCGAAGAGUGUGGCUUAUCCUAUCUCCUAUGCAGAGUGAUUUUGGUGGAGUACAAGCUAUUUGCCUUGCUGGUAUCUGGGUAUGCCUCUAAGGUUCAGAAAGCCGAGGAGAACCAAGCUACAGCUGAUUGUGCUUGACAAGGCUGCUGGCAAGCUCUCGCCAUGGAAAGGGUGCCUUCUCAUCAGGGCUGGGAGACUGGUGCUUAUUAGCUCGGUGGUCACUGCAACUGCUACCUAUUUUCUAUCUGCCUUCCUAGAGGAACAAAUGGAUGAUGAAAAAGAUGGACAGGCUCAGAAGGAAUUUUCUCUGGGGAGCUGAUGACCAAAGAGACCAUGGAAGGGCACCCAGACUCCAUGCGAUGAGGCUGACCAACGCCAGGGGCUCGAUUUCAGAACUCCAACGCUAGAGUGUGCUCAAUUGUUUCCUUGGCUUCCCCAAUCGGGGGAUGGUGGAGGAGGAUUUGCUCGGCUCGCCGAGGCGAGGAGGAGAGAUUACUCUGUAGGCAUACACUGCCUGGCAGCUGUGGAAAGAGCGAAAGAGGAGGAGGUAGUUGCGGUCGUCUUGGCAGGUUUCGUUAGCUAACUGCAAACAGCUUACACUACUAGCAGACUUGACUAGCAGCGUCGUCGAGAAAGGGGAACGGUGAAAAUCCAGAAUCGAUCAGUUUCGAACAAGAAGUACCUGUGUAUGUAGCGAUCAAGCGUGCUUCCAACUGAAGAGGAUCGCGGUGGUAUGCAACAGCUCUGCUCAUGAACUCAUCUUCAACAGAAUGGUCCGUGUUUCAACUCUCUUUUGUUUCCCCUCCGAAAGAAAAAGAGAAAGGAAUAGGGCCAUUUUUCUACUGGCCUCUUCAGAGUGGAGACUUAGCCAAACUGCAUCCGCCCGUUUCGUUUGCCGGGCGGCCAAAUGGCAACAGCUCCCCUGACUUGUCUCCAUGGAGGUAACGACCGAAAUUAGGACUUGUAUAAUGGCAGUGGAGUGUGCUCAUCUGCUGGCGACAACUCUAUCAACACUUGAAUAUAAACAUGUUAGUGGUAGCUACACUCCAAACACAUACUCCUGUACUGCUCCCUCCGUUUCUAAAUAUAAGUUUUUUUAGAGAUUUCAAUAUGAACUACAUACAUAUGUAUAUAAACAUAUUUUAGAGCGUAGAUUUACUCAAUUUGCUCCGAUGUAGUUCAUAUUGAAAUCUCUAAAAAGAUAUAUAUUUAUAAACGGAGGGAGUACAUCAUAAACACAGGACUCCCAACACUAUCCACAUUGUGUAUGAUGUUGUUGAUGCAAGAUUAGUAAUCAAGCUUCUUCUUUUUUACAUUUUUCUCUCUGAAAAGAUUCAGAUAUGAAGUACUUCCUCCCUUUCUAAAUAUAAGUCUUUUUAAAGAUUUCAAUAUUUUAGAGUGCGAAAAUGCUCCACCUACGGACGACACCUACGGAAACUCUCCUGCGGACAGACUUGGCUGUGUCUAAUUCACCACUCCUCCCUCCUGCGGACAGAAUUGGCUGCGUCUAAUUCACCACUCCUCCCUGAAUUUCAGGUGUGGGGCUCUCCUGUCCCCAAUCUAAUGAUGCCACUUUCAUCCGUAACCUCCCAUCCUUAAAAAAAACGACUGUAAGUGUAGCAUUGCUCUUUAGAGUGCAGAUUCAUCAUUUUGCUCCGUAUGUAGUCUAUAUUGAAAUCUCUAAAAGGAUUAAAAACAAAAAAAUAUUUUUUACCUUAGGCGAAAGAUGGGUUACCUGGUCAACAACCUUGAAACGCCGGUGAGCUCAUCUGUCCACCCAGUCUCCGAUGGCCCUUGUAGAUGCGGGAGGCGCGAUGGAUGCUGCUCCUCGCCCGUGGGUGAGGAGGUAGUUCGUAAGUUAGGUGUAUGCCGACAACAUUUCAUGGGGAUUCUGUUGCCAUUUGAAAUAAGGUGCCCUCGACCUUUCCCUCGCGCCGACGGCACGCUAGGGGGCUUUGUGGUGGUUAAUUUUUUUGUGAGUAAACAUCCGAUCUAGUUAGCUUCAAUCAUGACAGUACAACGAACAUUAGAAAUAAUAAAAAUUGCAUCCAGGUUCAUAGACCACCUAGUGAUGACUACAAGCACUGAAGCCAGUCGAAAGCGCACCGCCGUCAUCGCCCCUUCCUCACGGGAGCAUGGCAAACUUGUUGUAGUAGACAUUCAGGAAGUCAUCAUGCUAAGGUUCCAUAGGACCCACGCACCAGAACAGCAAUCGCCGCUGGUGAAGAGUAGCAUUGAUCUGAAGGAUUCAACCUGAAGACACACGAACAUAAACGAACAACGAACAAAUCCGAGCAAAUCCAUCAAAGGCAGAUCGCCAGAGACACACCUCCACACGCCCACCGAUGAUACUGGUUAGGGGUUCUCUUUACUGGUUGCUCAGUGGGGGUUCGGGUGGGAUCCUUGAAUUUGAGAUGGAUAGGCAAAGACUAAUUGUGAUACCUAUGCCAGUAAAUGACCUCAGGUUUUUCCAAUUGUCGCUGAUACGGGCAGAUGGCCUUGGAAUUGGUCUCCUCAAUUUAUCAGGCUUCAGUGCCCAAUUUUGGAAGACAAGGACCAAUUGUGAUGGUGUUGCUUCAUGGGUGUUGGGAAGAACCAUUGAAAUUGACCAGCUACUUCACUUGGAAGCAGAGGAGAUGGGGACUCAAAUGAUACUAGGGUUUGCUGAGGACAAUAAUGUGGUUCUCUUGUGGACAAUUGAUGGUCUUGUCAUGUUACAGCUUGAGUCGGUACAGUUUGAGAAAGUCUUGGGAACCAACAUCAUCGCUUACAAUCACUCAUUCGAAAGUGUCUAUACUGCAGAAACAGGCAUUGGUGGUGGACAUGAUGGAGCUGAUCUUUUGCACAGGACAUAAGAUUUUUUUUCCGGUUAGAUAUGCUAUUGUGAUGGGUUGAGCAGGAGUCUGGAAUUACAUUCCGGUGGCAGAUGCAGAAAUGGCUUUUCUGCUGUAGGUUCAUCCAGUUUAUAUGCUAUGCGGUCUUCUAUAGACAUUAGUCAGCUGGCAUGAAGACACCAUGACUUAUUUGGAUUUAUGAUUGGCAUUGGCCCUGUCUGUUAAUCUCCCGUUACAUUUAUGCUUGCAAGCAUUGAGGCAAGCUAAAGUCUUAUGUUCUAUGUUGUGUCUGGUCGAGAUUGCAACUUGUAAUCUCUGCUUAAGCUUUGUCCGAUGAUGUUACUUCUUUUUUUGCGUGUGUGUGCAUACUCUUGGGUUUGUACUAUUAGAUAUAAAUUUGUAUGUCGAAAAGAUAGCGAUGCUGCAGUGAUGCUAUUAUGAAUUGAGUUUGUACCAUGAUAGGGCUGUUCUCAUUACCCUUGUGUUGUUACCAGAAUGCCCAAGAUGCUAGUUGUGUUGUACUUUUGUUUGUUGCUGAGGACACGGAAAGUUCGUGUUCUGUUUCGACAUGAA